UACGGGGGGGGCAAGCGUUGUUCGGAAUUACUGGGCGUAAAGGGCUCGUAGGUGGCCAACUAAGUCGGACGUGAAAUCCCUCAGCUUAACUGGGGAACUGCGUCCGAUACUGGAUGGCUUGGAUUUGGGAGAGGGAUGCGGAAUUCCAGGUGUAGCGGUGAAAUGCGUAGAUAUCUGGAGGAACACCGGUGGCGAAGGCGGCAUCCUGGACCAAUAUUGACGCUGAGGAGCGAAAGCUAGGGGAGCAAACGGG
rnacentral:rRNA from 1 species